GGGGAAUAUUGGGCAAUGGGGGGAACCCUGACCCAGCAACGCCGCGUGGAGGAAGAAGGUUUUCGGAUCGUAAACUCCUGUCCUUGGAGACGAGUAGAAGACGGUAUCCAAGGAGGAAGCCCCGGCUAACUACGUGCCAGCAGCCGCGGUAAUACGUAGGGGGCAAGCGUUGUCCGGAAUAAUUGGGCGUAAAGGGCGCGUAGGCGGCUCGGUAAGUCUGGAGUGAAAGUCCUGCUUUUAAGGUGGGAAUUGCUUUGGAUACUGUCGGGCUUGAGUGCAGGAGAGGUUAGUGGAAUUCCCAGUGUAGCGGUGAAAUGCGUAGAGAUUGGGAGGAACACCAGUGGCGAAGGCGACUAACUGGACUGUAACUGACGCUGAGGCGCGAAAGUGUGGGGAGCAAACAGGAUUAGAUACCCUGGUAGUCCACACUGUAAACGAUGAAUGCUAGGUGUAGGGGGUAUCGACCCCUUCUGUGCCGCAGUCAACACAAUAAGCAUUCCGCCUGGGGAGUACGGCCGCAAGGUUGAAACUCAAAGGAAUUGACGGGGGCCCGCACAAGCAGCGGAGCAUGUGGUUUAAUUCGACGCAACGCGAAGAACCUUACCAGGUCUUGACAUCCACUUAAACUUACAGAGAUGUAAGGUGUGCUUGCACAAAGUGAGACAGGUGGUGCAUGGUUGUCGUCAGCUCGUGUCGUGAGAUGUUGGGUUAAGUCCCGCAACGAGCGCAACCCUUAUCUUCAGUUACUAACGCGUGAAGGUGAGGACUCUGAAGAGACUGCCGGGGACAACUCGGAGGAAGGUGGGGACGACGUCAAAUCAUCAUGCCCCUUAUGACCUGGGCUACACACGUGCUACAAUGGCCACGACAGAGAGAAGCGAAAUCGUAAGGUAGAGCGGAACUCAAAAAAGUGGUCCCAGUUCGGAUUGUGGGCUGCAACCCGCCCACAUGAAGUCGGAGUUGCUAGUAAUCGCGGAUCAGCAUGCCGCGGUGAAUACGUUCCCG
rnacentral:rRNA from 1 species